rnacentral:sRNA from 1 species
AACACUUCGUGUUUGUAGUGGAAAUCCUUUGGUUUUUUUUCAAAAAGCAAAGAUUGCAAUGGAUAGCGGGAUUAGCU